AGUCCGCUUCAUCAGCUUUUUAGACGGAUCCAGACGGCUGAUCAUGAACGACUAUACUUUUCAUAAAUCGGGCAGCAGGAAGAACUGCCCUACCGUGCGCUGGCGCUGCUCAGCCAAGAUGAAAGGCUGCAAUGCUUUCGUUGUCAUGGAUAAGGAAGACAGGGUUAUAAAAUACCAGGCAGAUCACCAGCAUAGUCCACCGACUUACAUCAGGGAGAAUAGGAUAUUGUCCAGUUGUAACUUAACUGGUUUGCCAAUGUAGUCCUGUUUGAAGCCUCCUUAAGAAAGAACUAAAAAGAUGAUAUUUUACAUUAGAAACCAUUCUACGUCAUUUACCUUAAAUUCUCCUGAGUGUAUAAUCUGGACACGGAUUUCUUAUUUUCUGUUAGUUUUGGCUGUGAUAGUGUCGCAGAUUGAUGCCACUCUUCUUAGCGUCUGUCAAAAAUUUUCCUCGAGGCGCUGGCAGUAAUAACAUAAGCUCAUGAUGUCUUCAUUAAACUGGCAGAAGACGAUAUAACUUUCAUCAAGAAGCAAUUCGGCACCGGUGUCCUGUUAUAUGCGGGACACCGGUACGUCGCAAAACGGAGGUACAAAGAUGGUGGCACAGUUUUUGAAUGCACUUUUAGAAAGAAACUGAAGUGUAAAGGAAGAAUAACCGUGCGUGACAACACCAUUUACAAGCGGACAGGCCACUGCCAUCCCCCGAACCACGUUAAAAAUGAAAUAGACAAACAGAUAGAGAACAGUAAAGCUUUGUUAGCAACCUCGAAUAUACCAGUCGCUUCGGUGUACAAGGCAACGGUAGCAGCCUUGAAGGACCAGGGUUAUGACUUGACCACUGACCUACCUUCUUUCAAAAGUCUCAAAAGUUCCUUUUAUAGAAUAAAGAAGAGUUCUAACAAACUAAAGCCACAAGGAGAAAACGAAGGAGAAUUGGAUGAUGAUUCGAAUUAAAUUUUUGGUUAAAAUGUUGUUGAUUUGUUUAACCUUUUUUGUUUAGGUACAGCAGUUUGGUACCCAUAUUAUUAUGUUGUUUUGGACUCGGAAUGU